GAUAACUCAGUUGGUUAGAGUAUGGUGCUGAUAAUGCCAAGGUUGCAGGUUCAGUCCCCAUGAAUAUCCCUGCAUUGCA